CUUGUAUGGGUCUGUGGUUGCAAGUCGAGGCCAGUCGCAGGCGAAACGAUCCACGUAAGCGGGCAAAGGUCCCGUGAGCAUGGUGCGGCUUAGAGGUAAGACCAACCGGGAAACCGAGAGAGGCAGUAGUGGGGAGCUAUGAAGGCUUAGGAGCGAACCCUCCUGUUGGCGAGUGUGGGGGCAAAGACCAGGUCAGCCAUACCGG
ncrna:unclassified sequences raiA RNA